GCCAGUGUGGUCUAGUGGUUUGAGCAUUGGACUUUGACUCCAGACAACAGGGUUCUAAUCCCAGCUCAGCCA